AUUGAACGCUGGCGGCAGGCCUAACACAUGCAAGUCGAACGAGUGGCGGACGGGUGAGUAAUGUCUGGGAAACUGCCUGAUGGAGGGGGAUAACUACUGGAAACGGUAGCUAAUACCGCAUACCAUCGGAUGUGCCCAGAUGGGAUUAGCUAGUAGGUGGGGUAAAGGCUCACCUAGGCGACGAUCCCUAGCUGGUAUGAGAGGAAGACCAGCCAAACUGGAACUGAGACACGGCCCAGACUCCUACGGGAGGCAGCAGGGGGGAAUAUUGGACAAUGGGCGCAAGCCUGAUCCAGCCAUGCCGCGUGUGUGAAGAAGGUCUUCGGAUUGUAAAGCACUUUAGGUUGGGAGGCGUUACCAACAGAAUAAGCACCGGCUAACUUCGUGCCAGCCGCCGCGGUAAUAC
rnacentral:rRNA from 1 species